GAUGAACGUUAGCGGGAGGCUUAAUACAUGCAAGUCGAGCGGUAAGUUUUAUAGCAAUAUGAAGACCUAGAGCGGCGCACGGGUGAGUAACGCGUACACGACCUGGCCUAAACUGGGGGAUAGCCUUGGGAAACUGAGAGUAAUCCCGCAUGUGAUUAUGUUACUGAUGGUGAUAUAAUUAAAGCUUCGGCGGUUUAGGAUGGGUGUGCGUCUGAUUAGCUAGUUGGUAGUGUAACGGACUACCAAGGCGAUGAUCAGUAGGGGGCGUGAGAGCGUGACCCCCCACAC
rnacentral:rRNA from 1 species